UCGAAUUUAGAAUAAACUCUCUAGCGUUUCUUUUUUCGUUUAUUUUGACAGGAAGUACGCGAAAUACGCUACGAAACGAUUGCUACAGUUACUGAUCCUUAUAUCUGGUAUGGAGGAAAGGUUGUUCCAUGGGAUAAAACCGUAUAUGCUGAGAAAUGGACAACAUUUGUUGUUGAGCCCACGUCUGUUGUGUCCGAAGUGAAUAUAUGGAUCAUCAUUGGAAGCGUCCUAGGUGCACUUGCACUACUGAUUCUCGUCAUAGUAAUCCUAUGGAAGUGUGGAUUCUUUGCACGUAAGAAGCACAACCAGGUACAGCAAUGGAAAAGAGCCAGUCCGUACAACCACAAAAGCGUCAGGAUGUCGUCACAUGAAAAACAACCUUACACUUCUAUCGAAGAAAAAGAAUUAAAUCAAUAAACUGUUUUUCUUUCAAACUAAUAUUCAUUUUGUUUUAGGCAACUUUAUUUACCUUCUGCGGUUUUGAUAAUCUAAAUGUGUCAGUGUUUUGUAAGUGUACUCGCUAUCUUAGGAGUAAAUAUACUAUAGCAUAACAGUGGCAGAUGUAACUGCAGUAAAACUGGUGUGCUUAGCAGUAAAACUGUUGUAAAAGCAGAAUGUAGUCAGCAGUAAUACAGUUGGCAGCAAAAACAAUGAUAUUCUUGUUAGAGCAGUAAUAAUAUUUAAGUAGUGCUUCAGCAGCUCUAGCUGAUGCAUGUGUUGUUGUUGUUGUUUUUUUUGCCACAAGGUGAAUACUGUCGAUACUGCAAUCAUUAGUUGCUGCAAUAAAGCCAAUAUGUAAAGCUCUGAUAUGUAAGCCCUAGAUGUGUUACAAACCUUACAUUGGUCUUUCUUGCGUUUGCUUAAAAUUUCAUUAUAGACUUGCACUGUUGUAUAUUAAUAUAAAGGUUUCCCUAUGCAUGAAGUUCUAUAUUUAUCUAGAAUGAUAGAAAUGCGCGCAUAUGAGAAUACAUAAUACUGCAUGAUCGAACUUAUAGAUUAUAUAGAAUAAUGUAAAAAGUAUCAAAAAUGUCUACAAUCAUAAUUUGUUAAGGAUUUUGAAAACAUAUUUUAAAGUCGAUGCUUCUUAAAACAAGAAGAGUUAUAUUCAGACAAUACUUCUGACAUCUGUAUUUUUCAUAAUUGUAAAGCUAGGAAUAUGUUCUUUGGCCUGUAAGGCAACCUCUUAUAAGAUGCCGAUAAAUUCAGGAAGAGCAUGCUAAUCUGUAGAAGAAAAUAUCCGUCUACUUGUUUACUAAAUCAUUUGGCAAUAUGAGCGAAUGUUUUCAGCAUAUAAAUGCUAUGAUUCUUGUUAAACAUUAACUAGCGGGUGUGAGUAGUGUUUCACAUUUCAUUACCUCUCAUGAACAGACUCCGUAAACACCGAGUCUGUUAUCAUGUUGCUUGGUUGCGUUCUAUGCUUCCAAAGGGUCUUUUUACAUAUUUUAUUAUUUAUCGUCAGCGCUUGUGAUUUUAAAUACAUUUUGUGCGUGUAAAAAGAUAAUGUAUAUUAUGCUUGUAUGAAUUUUAAUGUAUCGUAAAUUGUGCUUUAUCAGGAAUUAUAAUAAUAAUGUAACAUUAAAUAAUUCACAUUUUUGCAAUACUGUGUAUUGAGUAAUGUUCGCGGAGGUUUUAUUUUCGCUAAUAUUCACCAAAAAUGUUGCUUGCGAUUUAUUUUAUUCUCCAUCAUAUACUAAAACACAAACACUCUCGUUUCGAGAACUUUUAACACAGUGAAUAAGAUUUGUAAACAUGUAAUUGCUAAAAAAUGCAUUAGCAUAAUACUAAACAAAUUAUAGUAUUACAAAAUAAAAUCUGAGAAGUAGAUCGUUCGGAAGCACAGAGAACAAGGCAAACAGUGAGAAUUACAGACUCGGUUUGACUGAGCCUGUUCCUGUGCAGUAAUGGAAAAUGCAACAAUGUCCACGCCCCGCCACCCCCAGCCCCCAUCCCACCUCUAGCAACGGCUUUUUAAUAAGCAGUAUUCAAUCUUCAUAAAUCUUGAUUAAACAAGGCGAUAAAAGUAAAAGUGUAUUUGAAUGCUGUCGCUUUUUUAUUGUUAAUGACAUUAAUAUCGUAAUGAAACAGUUAACAAUAAAAUCUAUCCAACGGUUACUGUUUGUCCCGCGAGCCUGUAAUUAGAAAGUGUAAUCAUUCAGUUCAUUACGUUAUUUGAGAUAUACCUUUUACAUGACCUUUCUCCACAAAACAGCUUUUUAUUUUCGAAACAGAUAGAAAGAAGCUCUUAUGCAUUUUGUUUAAAAUCUGAUCAAUUAUGGCUAUUCCUAUUUAAUAAAUGAAUUAUACAAAAGCGUGGCAUUAACGUAUGUCAUAAACCUCAGAGUUGCUUGCCUCAUGAUCAACCUUCUUUUCAAAUUUGCAAAGUGUCACAUUUUUUCAAUUAUUAUGGUCUGAUUUUAAAAGCUUCAGCGUUAUAAUUAUCAUGCUUUUGGACUUGAUUAAAAACAUGGAAAUAAAACUUGUAGGCGGUACGAUAGCCUCUAAGUACAGAAUCGAAACGCUAUUCCUAAGCCUAUUAUUCCGGUAUUGCAGCGCAUUUUUAUCACGCAAUGUCAUAAUAAUUAAAAUUUGACUUUUGAAUGAUUUUUUUGUUUGUUUUAAAUCAUUCCAUUAAAGAGACAAUGCAAAUGCAGCCCCAUGUAUAUUUUGAAUGCAUGUGGACAAUUUCUAGAUACACUUUGAUACGUUUAUGAAUAUUUGACUAAUAGCAGUUUUUAUUAGAACUUACUUUGCUUCACAUAUGAAAUUUCUUACGGCAUCACAAUUUCGGUCGUUCCACAGUGCAUUGUGUCCAUUGAAUAUAAUUUCUAGGCAAUGUUCAACACUUCCUGAAAAACGUAGUAGUAUACAGUUCUCUAGUUAUCUCAUUCUAUUCAGAUGUUAUUGAUUUUGCAAAAUAUAACAAAAUUAAAACCUGACUUAUA